rnacentral:tRNA from 2 species
GGCCUCGUAGCACAACUGAAUAAUGCACUUGAUUACGGCUCAAGAGAUUACAGGUUUGAAUCCUGUCGAGGUCACCA